rnacentral:rRNA from 1 species
UUGGGUUGUUAUUCUCAUUAUUUGGUUUUAUUUCUCAGUUAUCUCUGUUUUAGCAAUGCGGUUUUUCUUCGGUUAAUUAUAGUGCCAGCAUCCGCGGUGGCUGAAUAAGUUUGGCUUGGACAUUAGUUUUAUUUUUAAUUUCUGUUAUUUAUUGUUUGGUGAUGUUGGGUGGAAUUUUUAUUUUGCUUUGUUUAUUUUUUUGGAGGCUAUGAAGUUUUUUUUGUAGACUAGGAUUAGAUACCCUAUUAUUUCUUAUGUUAAGUUUGUUUGGUGCCUGAGUAGUAGUAGUUAUGUUCUUGAAACUCAAAGAAUUUGGCGGUACCUUAUUCCAGUCAGAGGAAUCUGUGUCGUUAUCGAUAGUCCACGUUGGACCUUACUUAGUUUGUGUUUAGUGUUUGUAUACCGCCGUUUCUUGUUUAUCCUUUUAGGGGUUGAAAUUUUCCGCUUCUAGUUUAUGGGUUUAUUUCAGGUCAAGGUGCAGCUUUAUUUCUAAGUGUGCAUGGGUUACAUUGUUAUAGGUAAGUUGGAUUAUUGCUCUAAUUGGUAAUAUGAAAUUGGAUUUGAUUGUAAUGUCUUGAAGACUGUUUUCAUGAUAUUGGUUCUGGGGUAUGUACACAUCGCCCGUCACUCUCGCCUAUCUGGCGAGAUAAGUCGUAACAAAGUAGUCGUACCGGAAGGUGCGGCUGGAUUGAUAAUUGUAUCGGAUUAUUCUCAUAGAGGGGG